rnacentral:rRNA from 1 species
CGUAGGGGCUAGCGUUAUCCGGAUUUACUGGGCGUAAAGGGUGCGUAGGCGGUCUUUCAAGUCAGGAGUUAAAGGCUACGGCUCAACCGUAGUAAGCUCCUGAUACUGUCUGACUUGAGUGCAGGAGAGGAAAGCGGAAUUCCCAGUGUAGCGGUGAAAUGCGUAGAUAUUGGGAGGAACACCAGUAGCGAAGGCGGCUUUCUGGACUGUAACUGACGCUGAGGCACGAAAGCGUGGGGAGCAAACAGGAUU